UCCGUAGGUGAACCUGCGGAGGGAUCAUUACCGAGUUUACAACUCCCAAACCCCUGUGAACAUACCUUAAUGUUGCCUCGGCGGAUCAGCCCGCGCCCCGUAAAACGGGACGGCCCGCCAGAGGACCCAAACUCUAAUGUUUCUUAUUGUAACUUCUGAGUAAAACAAACAAAUAAAUCAAAACUUUCAACAACGGAUCUCUUGGUUCUGGCAUCGAUGAAGAACGCAGCAAAAUGCGAUAAGUAAUGUGAAUUGCAGAAUUCAGUGAAUCAUCGAAUCUUUGAACGCACAUUGCGCCCGCUGGUAUUCCGGCGGGCAUGCCUGUUCGAGCGUCAUUUCAACCCUCAAGCCCCCGGGUUUGGUGUUGGGGAUCGGCUCUGCCUUACGGCGGUGCCGCCCCCGAAAUACAUUGGCGGUCUCGCUGCAGCCUCCAUUGCGUAGUAGCUAACACCUCGCAACUGGAACGCGGCGCGGCCAUGCCGUAAAACCCCAACUUCUGAAUGUGACCUCGGACCAGGUA
rnacentral:rRNA from 1 species